GACGAACGCUGGCGGCGUGCUUAACACAUGCAAGUCGAACGGAAAGGCCUCUUUCGGGGGUCCUCGAGUGGCGAACGGGUGAGUAACACGUGAGUAACCUGCCCUUUACUUUGGGAUAACUUCAGGAAACUGGGGCUAAUACCGGAUAGGAGCUCCUGCUGCAUGGUGGGGGUUGGAAAGUUUCGGCGGUUGGGGAUGGACUCGCGGCUUAUCAGCUUGUUGGUGGGGUAGUGGCUUACCAAGGCUUUGACGGGUAGCCGGCCUGAGAGGGUGACCGGCCACAUUGGGACUGAGAGACGGCCCAGACUCCUACGGGAGGCAGCAGUGGGGAAUAUUGCACAAUGGGUGGAAGCCUGAUGCAGCAACGCCGUGUGCGGGAUGACGGCCUUCGGGUUGUAAACCGCUUUCGCUCAUGACGAAGCUUUGUGUGACGGUAGUGGGUAAAGAAGCACCGGCUAACUACGUG
rnacentral:rRNA from 1 species